rnacentral:lncRNA from 1 species
CGGUGCUCUUACAGGCCUGCAUAGCGGCCUCUGAGGGAGGGAUAUUCCUGUGGUUAGUGCUGGGCUCAUUUCAGAGGUGAAAAAGGCCAGGUGAAAAAGAAUGACAUUCUCAAAACACUGGGCAGCUUGUCAGCCACAAACAGCAGGUUGUGGGGGCUGCUUUGGAUCUUGGCUGUCCUUCAUGUUGCCGGAUGUCACUGCACAAAUCUAAGCGUACAGGAAAGCGAAAUUCCUCCAUGCUGUGGCCUGCUGGUGUGACAAUCAGGCCCAGAGGCAUGAGAAAGAACAGAUAGGAAACUUCUGUGUGUGUGUGUGAGUGCAUGCACGAGUGUAAGAUACACAGAGGGAGGGGAGACAAACCUAAUUUUCUCUGAAUGAAGAUAAAUCUGUCUGGCCUGGCAGUGGUGAGACAGUAACCCUUACUGGAGCACUUACCUGAUCAUCCCAGUGGCUAAAACAGGGAAGAGUCUGUACAAUAGAAGAGCAGACAACAUGGUCUUUCACCAUCACUGCGGAGAAAAUAGCUGUGUUUCUGUAAAAACAAACAAAGUGCAUGUAGCAGAGAGAAAGUGCAGGAGGUACAGAUGAGACUUGUGCUGCUGCAGCACUCCUUGCACCCUUGCAGCCAGGUUAAAUCCACAGCCUGCGAAAUCAGGUGAGCUGGCAUUAGCACUCAGCCUCGUUAAGGCACAGCUUUCUAAUCCAGGUGUCACGGAGGUGUGCAGUCUUACCUGCUCAAGGAGAGGGAGAGGAAGGAUGAGUAAGAGAAAUGAAAAUGGGAUGCAAGGAAGGGCAAUGCAGAAAGGACAGUCUGGAAAACAAAAAGUAAGUUUCAGGUAUAAGCUAAAUCCAGUGGAAAUUAUGAUGUUUCCUUUCUUUUUCUUAGAAAAUGUAUGAUGAGAAAAGCCCAUCACUUGGGAAAAAGGAGAUGAGAGCCCUGUUUUGUUACAGAACGUUUCAGGAAAAGGUACAUGAGUCCAAGAUCAGUAUGCUUUUCAGAAUGAAAAAAAAUGAGACUGAUACAGACUGUAUCCCGAAGAGCAGGGCCUAGGGAAGGAAGCAAGCCAUUAAUCAUUCACUCAUGGGGCAACAUGCUGGAUGUGCCAAACAGUCAAUAAAGUAGAGCCAAUAACAUCCUAGUCCUGCUGU